rnacentral:rRNA from 1 species
UGCGCAAGUCAUUGGGACAUAAAGCGAAACCUAGAGGCGAAAUGAAAGUGAAUGUGUGUGCGUGUGCCACUUGUGGUGUGCGCGCACAGAGGGAGGAUGGGCCGACCCAAGCAGGUCGGCUCCGCACUCCCGGGGCGUCUCGUGUUCAUUGCGAACUGAGGCGCACCUAGAGCGUACACGCUGGGACCCGAAAGAUGGUGAACUAUGCCUGGUCAGGACGAAGUCAGGGGAAACCCUGAUGGAGGUCCGUAGCGAUUCUGACGUGCAAAUCGAUCGUCGGAACUGGGUAUAGGGGCGAAAGACUAAUCGAACCAUCUAGUAGCUCGUUCCUU